UCUGGAUGCAUACGGGAAGCAGCUAAUCGAUGUUUCUCUAAAAUCAGAACAUUUUUUUUUUUAAGUCACCAAAUCCCACAGCAACAGAAUCUUCCUGUCUAGCUGAGGCUGAGCCCUGGGCUGCCUGUGGAUGGACAGACGAGGCAGUGAACAGGCAACAAGCCCCAUCUCGUGUCCCGUUGACCUACUGGUCAGCAGGGGCGAGUCACCCUCCAGGUAUUUCUCAGGUUCCCUCCCAGGUGCCGACUCGAAAGCUCUCAUCACUCAAGAAGACCAUAUGUGGAACCUCGACCGCCAUGAUCCUCAUUCCUGGCCAGCCAGGCCCCUUGUUGCCCGGGCCCUGGUCGUCUGAGCCUGCCUCCACACCAGCUCUCCCAGACAGUUUCCAAGGGGCUGGAUUUGCACCGGAUCCUCCUCGCUUUACUGCCCAAGGGGCGGGGCAGCUCCAAGAAGGAAGACCGAGGCCAAGGAGAUCAGGAGACUUGCCCGAGGACACACAGCUAGGAUGUGGCAGAGGUGGGGUUGAGGUCUGCGGCUCCUGACUCCCAAGGCAGAGCCCUGUGACAUCACAGAAAAGCAGCCUGGGAGAACCUCGAAUGAGUCUGGGGCCUGUCCCUGACGACCUGGCCACUGCCGAGGUGCCUGGAGGUAGGAACAGUUGAUGACAUUGCCCCGGGGAUGUGGAGAGAGGUGCUGGGCAGCAUCCAUGGCCAUUCUGACAAUACCUGUCUUUUCCUUCAGAGGAUCACCCCUCCCCCACCGAGUACCCCUGGUGUUCAGGUGGGGCCAGUCCCACCCCCUGGCUUGAGAGGCAGGAUGUGUCCCAGGAUGGACGCUGAGACUUCCCCUCGGGACUUUUGCAGCAACUAUGAGGAAAGAGGCAUUCGCUUUUUGUGGGAGUUGCCAAGUGGACAGAAGUUGCCAAGCUUGGAACUGCUGGUGGCCAUCCUGUUCUCUGCUUGAGGAUAAAGCCAACAAGGAGCAAAGAGAAGGCGAGUGUAUUCUAUCCAGACAUCAGUAAGCCCCUGGAUCAAGCCGUGCCUGAAGCCAACUGCACCCCUGGACUAACCUGAUUAUAUGAGCCAAUGCUGUUUUUUCCGAACACUAUCUGGAGUUGGGUUUCUAGCAUAGAAGGGGUCCUAAGAACGGCAGUGUUUUUCUUUGAUCUCAUUUUUAGAAAGUCAACAUUGAGGUAUACUUUACAUGCAAUAGAUUUCACCCAUGUUAAGUGUCCAAUUCAUAAGUAGUUACAGUUACACCCUUGUCACUAUCACCAGCAUUCAAGUUCCCUCCUUCCUCUUUAUGGCCCAUUUUCCCAACUCCAAAGAACCACUGACCUACCUAUAUUCUAAAGGUUCAUUUUGCCUUUUCUAGAAUUCCAUAUAAAUAUCACAUAGUGUGUUCUCUCCUGUGUCUGGCUUCUUUUAGUCAACAUGUUUUGGAGAUUUAUUCAUGUUGUUGCGUGUACCAAUAGUUCAUUCCUUUUUGUUGCCAAGUAGUGUGCUACUGUAUGGACGUAGCACAGUUUGUUUAUCCAGUUAUGGGAUGAUGACCAUUUGGACUAUUUCCAGAUUUUGACUAUUAUGAAUAAAACUGUUACAACAGUCAUGUGCAAGUC